AGUGAACGCUGGCGGUAGGCCUAACACAUGCAAGUCGAACGGCAGCACAGUAAGAGCUUGCUCUUACGGGUGGCGAGUGGCGGACGGGUGAGGAAUACAUCGGAAUCUACUUUUUCGUGGGGGAUAACGUAGGGAAACUUACGCUAAUACCGCGUACGACCUACGGGUGAAAGCAGGGGAUCUUCGGACCUUGCGCGAUUGAAUGAGCCGAUGUCGGAUUAGCUAGUUGGCGGGGUAAAGGCCCACCAAGGCGACGAUCCGUAGCUGGUCUGAGAGGAUGAUCAGCCACACUGGAACUGAGACACGGUCCAGACUCCUACGGGAGGCAGCAGUGGGGAAUAUUGGACAAUGGGCGCAAGCCUGAUCCAGCCAUACCGCGUGGGUGAAGAAGGCCUUCGGGUUGUAAAGCCCUUUUGUUGGGAAAGAAAAGCAGCAGGUUAAUACCCCGAUGUUCUGACGGUACCCAAAGAAUAAGCACCGGCUAACUUCGUG
rnacentral:rRNA from 1 species